rnacentral:tRNA from 1 species
GGAUUGUGGCUCAGUGGUAGAGCGCUUGCCUCGCACUUAUGAGAUACUGGGAUUGAUCCUUAGCACCA